GACGAACGCUGGCGGCGUGCUUAACACAUGCAAGUCGAACGAAGAGCGACGGAAGCUUGCUUCUAUCAAUCUUAGUGGCGAACGGGUGGGUAACGCGUAAUCAACCUGCCCUUCAGAGGGGGACAACAGUUGGAAACGACUGCUAAUACCGCAUACGAUCUAAUCUCGGCAUCGAGGAUGGAUGAAAGGUGGCCUCUACAUGUAAGCUAUCACUGAAGGAGGGGAUUGCGUCUGAUUAGCUAGUUGGAGGGGUAACGGCCCACCAAGGCGAUGAUCAGUAGCCGGUCUGAGAGGAUGAACGGCCACAUUGGGACUGAGACACGGCCCAGACUCCUACGGGAGGCAGCAGUGGGGAAUCUUCCGCAAUGGACGAAAGUCUGACGGAGCAACGCCGCGUGAGUGAUGACGGCCUUCGGGUUGUAAAGCUCUGUUAAUCGGGACGAAAGGCCUUC
rnacentral:rRNA from 1 species